UUGUGGCUUUGCUGUUCAUCUAGACCCUAUGAUAUUCAUCUGAUCAUGUGCUUAUUAAUCUUAUGGCUCAAUCCAAAGGGAAAUUAAUGCUUGUUUUGACCAAUAUCAAAUGGCUGCUCCAUCUUAUGGUUAAUAUACUUGCACACACAAAGAAUUUCUAUUGGGAUACCAUAUAAUGAGACCUUUUAAUUCAUGUCAUUUACUUUAUGAUUUAGGAUAG
rnacentral:lncRNA from 1 species